CUGGAGCCUGGCUGCACCUCUCUUAGAGCUCAUUUAAGGGCAGGAUCUCUUUCUGGAGAUUUCUUCUUGGUGGAGCUUUCCCCUACAAACCUGGAAUCUUCUGAUACGCCCAUUCAGAACCAGUGCAUGGAACAAAUAUCAUUGCAAGACCAGAGAACCUUACUUGACCAAAGGUCCUGCCCACGUUGCCAUCCAUCUGUCCUCAGACCAUCCCAUAGGAUUAUCUACCACAGCUUCUGAGCAAUCCCAUGUAAGGAUUUGUGCUCCAGGCCAAUACUGUGUGAAUAUCUUUGUUUCUGGCCAGUCCUAUUCACAGAUCAACUUUGUUUUUAUAUGUUCUGACCCAAAACCUUAUAGAGCUUGAGUCCGAUAGUGCUACUUGUGUGAGGGGCUUUGAUAUGUAGUUUCACUUCUGCUUAAGAGCUGACCAGAGUCAUCAGCUAAUUUGGGUUGUAUGCCAUGCAAGUUGCCACCCGAAGAACGUCCUUCUAUGUUGAAGUUUCAUUUUUACACUCCUUUCUUUUUUUUGCAUUUUUUAUCUCCCUUGUAUCAAUCAAAAUCCACUCUAACUGAGAGCAUCUAUUCACAUUUUUUUUGUAUGAAGAACCAGGACUGCACAGUUGGCAGCCCUGCCCAUGAGAGAGGGGUUGGAAUUAGAUGACCUUUGAAGUCCUUUCCAACCCAAGCCAUUUUAUGAUCCUAUGAUUCUGCCACUGGUGGCAGUAUCAGGGUAAAUGUCUAAAGCUAGCCAUCUCCUCCCAAAAUGUUGCUGAUAAUGAAAUUCCACCAGUGUUGGACAAAC